ACUCCCGGUGGUAUGGGAUGGGCCCGCGUUGGAUUAGCCAGUUGGCAGGGUAACGGCCUACCAAAGCGACGAUCCAUAGCCGGCCUGAGAGGGCGACCGGCCACAUUGGGACUGAGACACGGCCCAAACUCCUACGGGAGGCAGCAGUGGGGAAUAUUGCACAAUGGGGGAAACCCUGAUGCAGCGACGCCGCGUGAGCGAAGAAGUAUUUCGGUAUGUAAAGCUCUAUCAGCAGGGAAGAAAAUGACGGUACCUGACUAAGAAGCCCCGGCUAACUAC
rnacentral:rRNA from 1 species